AAAUGAGGACAGCUGCUCACAGGAGGUGAUAACCGGAAGAGACCUCGGCUGUACCAGGCUCCCCUUUUUCAUCUUACAAAUGAGUGUGAGAGGGGAAGAGAGGGGUUCAAGCUCUCACAGGACAGGUGCAGUUCUUUGUCUCUCACUUGAGGUAACUCAGAAAUUGGCCAGGAAUGCGUGCCUACGGAAGACCGACCAGUGCUGAGCAGAAUGAACCAUCAUUAUUAAAACAUAAAAACACUUUUAA